rnacentral:rRNA from 1 species
GACAGAGGGUGCAAACGUUGCUCGGAAUUACUGGGCGUAAAGCGCGUGUAGGCGGGUCGGUGUGUCGGACGUGAAAUCCCUAGGCUCAACCUAGGAACUGCGCCCGAAACUGCCGAUCUUGAGUGGUGGAGAGGGAAGUGGAAUUCCUGGUGUAGAGGUGAAAUUCGUAGAUAUCAGGAGGAACACCAGUGGCGAAGGCGGCUUCCUGGACACCAACUGACGCUGAGACGCGAAAGCGUGGGGAGCAAACAGG